rnacentral:ncRNA from 1 species
AGAAAACGUUCCAUUAGGGGAUCGAAGGGAUCUGGGCGCCCAGGGGUUAAUCACAGAAGUCGCUUUUUGUGAUCUUUUGAUUGUCGGCUCUUUCCUAUUCAUUGGGGAAGCAAAAAUCACAAAGCGUUGGAUUGUUUCACCCAUGCAAAGGAAACGUGAGCUGGGUUAAGACCGUCGUGAGACAGGUUAGUUUUACCCUACUAAUGACAAAACGUUGUUGCGACAGCAUUCCUGCGUAGUACGAGAGGAACCGCAGGUACGGACCAAUGGCACAAUACUUGUUCGAGCGAACAGUGGUAUGACGCUACGUCCCGUUGGAUUAUGCCUGAACGCCUCUAAGGUCGUAUCCGUGCUGGACUGCAAUGAUAAAUAAGGGGCAAUUUGCAUUGUAUGGCUUCUAAACCAUUAAAAGUUUAUAAUUUAUUUUAUAAACGACAAUGGAUGUGAUGCCAAUGUAAUUUGUAACAUAGUAAAUUGGGAGGAUCAUCGAUCACCUGAUGCCGCGCUAGUUGCAUAUAAAAACAUUAUUUAAUACAAUGACAAAGCCUAGAAUCAAUUGUAAACGACUUUUGUAACAGGCAAGGUGUUGUAAGUGGUUGAGCAGCUGCCAUACUGCGAUCCACUGAAGCUUAUCCUUUGCUUGAUGAUUCGA